rnacentral:rRNA from 1 species
CCUACGGGAGGCUGCAGUGGGGAAUAUUGCACAAUGGGCGAAAGCCUGAUGCAGCGACGCCGCGUGAGUGAAGAAGUACUUCGUUAUGUAAAGCUCUAUCAGCAGGGAAGAAAAUGACGGUACCUGAGUAGGAAGCCCCGGCUAACUACGUGCCAGCAGCCGCGGGCAUACGGAGGGGGCGAGCGUUAUCCGGAUUUACUGGGUGUAAAGGGAGCGUAGACGGCAGUGCAAGUCUGGAGUGAAAGUCGGGGGCGCAACCCCCGGACUGCUCUGGAAACUGGACGGCUGGAGUGCAGGAGAGGUAAGUGGAAUGCCUGGUGUAGCGGUGAAAUGCGUAGAUAUCAGGAGGAACAGCAGUGGCGAAGGCGGCUUACUGGACUGUAACUGACGGUGAGGCGCGAAAGCGUGGGGAGCAAACAGGAUUAGAUACCCCUGUAGUC